GACGAACCGAGCGAACGUUGUUCGGAAUCACUGGGCUUAAAGCGCACGUAGGCGGACCAUCAAGUUGGGGGUGAAAUCCCGGGCUCAACCCCGGAACUGCCUUCAAAACUGUUGGUCUGGAGGUCGAGAGAGGUGAGUGGAAUUCCGAGUGUAGAGGUGAAAUUCGUAGAUAUUCGGAGGAACACCAGUGGCGAAGGCGGCUCACUGGCUCGAGUACUGACGCUGAGGUGCGAAAGCGUGGGGAGCAAACAGG
rnacentral:rRNA from 1 species